rnacentral:rRNA from 1 species
GGACGAACGCUGGCGGCGUGCUUAACACAUGCAAGUCGAACGAGGUCCACUGCGUAGCAAUACAAGGGAAGACCUAGUGGCGAACGGGUGCGUAACACGUGAGGAACUUGUCCCGGUCUCUGGGAUAACAGUUGGAAACGACUGCUAAUACCGGAUGACGUCGGAAUCUCGCAUGGGAUACUGACGAAAGGGUUACUGGAUCGGGAGAGCCUCGCGGCCUAUCAGCUUGUUGGUGAGGUAACGGCUCACCAAGGCAUCGACGGGUAGCUGGUCUGAGAGGAUGAUCAGCCACACUGGGACUGAGACACGGCCCAGACUCCUACGGGAGGCAGCAGUGGGGAAUCUUGCGCAAUGGGCGAAAGCCUGACGCAGCAACGCCGCGUGCGGGAAGAAGGCCCUCGGGUUGUAAACCGCUUUCAGUAGGAACGAAAAUGACGGUACCUGCAGAAGAAGGUGCGGCCAACUACGUG